UGGGGAAUUUUGCGCAAUGGACGAAAGUCUGACGCAGCAACGCCGCGUGUGUGAUGAAGGUUUUCGGAUCGUAAAGCACUUUCGUCCGGGAAGAAAAAGCAGGUGCUAAUCAGCCUGUAUUGACGGUACCGGAAGAAGAAGCACCGGCUAACUCUGUGCCAGCAGCCGCGGUAAUACAGAGGGUGCAAGCGUUGUUCGGAAUUAUUGGGCGUAAAGCGCGUGUAGGCGGCAUGGCAAGUCGGGUGUGAAAGCCCUCAGCUCAACUGAGGAAGUGCGCCCGAAACUGCUGCGCUUGAGUACCGGAGAGGGUGGCGGAAUUCCCCAAGUAGAGGUGAAAUUCGUAGAUAUGGGGAGGAACACCGGUGGCGAAGGCGGCCACCUGGACGGUCACUGACGCUGAGACGCGAAAGCGUGGGUAGCAAACAGG
rnacentral:rRNA from 1 species